rnacentral:rRNA from 1 species
CACGUAGGGUGCGAGCGUUGUCCGGAAUUAUUGGGCGUAAAGAGCUCGUAGGCGGUGUGUCGCGUCGGCCGUGAAAACCUGCAGCUUAACUGUGGGCGUGCGGUCGAUACGGGCAUCACUGGAGUUCGGCAGGGGAGACUGGAAUUCCUGGUGUAGCGGUGAAAUGCGCAGAUAUCAGGAGGAACACCGGUGGCGAAGGCGGGUCUCUGG